CACACACACACACACACGCACACAGAGUUUUCCCUUUCCAUUGCUUGUAUAGACUUCUUUAAUGUUCCUUCAAAUGUUAAAUCAUUUUAGAGACAAAUUUAAUAUGAUGUUUGGGGAAUGUCUGCAAGUGAAGUGGUGGCAUGGAAUUGUGGUUAUUGGCUUUAGCUUCAUUGAGCUUGCAAAAUAUCCUGGAUGUUUUAGACUACUUAAGAUACAAUUUAAUUUUGGAAUCUGAAUUUUUACAUGAGUUAUGCUGGCUAUGUCAUAAAAAUCAGGAAAUCCUAUCUUCAAAUUAUUCUUUAGUUGCCAUGAAAAGACUGAAUGUUGGGCCUUCUAAUGGCAUCUCCUUUUACUGCCAUGCAUGUGAUGCAAAACUUUAGUUGUUAAUGGACCAAGGACUUAGUUUUGAUAAGCAAAAGAAAAGUGCUCUCUAAAUAUCAAAACGUCUAUUCAUAAGCAAGUGAACAUAUAAUAUUCAGUUAGGCUUUUCUUUUUAAAAUUAUAUCUUUUCUGUUUUCCAGAUAGUAGGGUGGCAUUUAUGUUUUUCCAUUUGAAUUUAAUCUUUGAUUGUUGGAAUGUCUCAAAGCGAGUUGAGUUGUGAUGAUGAGAUUAGAAGUAGUUUGUAUACAGUAGGCGCACCUGGGAUAUUCUUGCCUUUUUUUAGAAGGAGACAAAGCUUUAUCAGGUCCUAUUCUCUUCCCUCUGAAACAAUAAAGAAACAGCUUUUGCUUGUGAAGUUGUUGCUGACAACUGAAGCAUUAAAUUCUCUUAUUUGAUCAUAAUGGACAUUUCAGGAUAGCUAAGGGAACAAUGACUUUGAAAUCACAGAUUUUCCUAUUAAAUUUAAUAAAAUACUGUAUUUCCUGCCCCCAAUAGGACUACACAUAAUAAUUUCUUCCAGUUUCAGUGGUGGCUCUGUGAUGAUUAUCUGUGAUGAUUAUCCAAAUAGUUUUCUAUUACUUUUGUCUUAUAAUUUAUCAUUUUAUUGUUCAUGAUCUUGCUGUUGUAUUUUCAAUUCUUAUUGUCUUGACAUGCAAUCAAUGGAUGCACUGAAUAUGAAUUCUUGCCAACCUUGUUUUGUUACUGAUAUUCUAGGGGCCCAUUUAUCCGGCUGGGGG
rnacentral:misc_RNA from 1 species